rnacentral:rRNA from 1 species
AGCGUACACGGUGGAUGCCCUGGCAGUCAGAGGCGAUGAAGGACGUGCUAAUCUGCGAUAAGCGUCGGUAAGGUGAUAUGAACCGUUAUAACCGGCGAUUUCCGAAUGGGGAAACCCAGUGUGUUUCGACACACUAUCAUUAACUGAAUCCAUAGGUUAAUGAGGCGAACCGGGGGAACUGAAACAUCUAAGUACCCCGAGGAAAAGAAAUCAACCGAGAUUCCCCCAGUAGCGGCGAGCGAACGGGGAGCAGCCCAGAGCCUGAAUCAGUGUGUGUGUUAGUGGAAGCGUCUGGAAAGGCGCGCGAUACAGGGUGACAGCCCCGUACACAAAAAUGCACAUGCUGUGAGCUCGAUGAGUAGGGCGGGACACGUGGUAUCCUGUCUGAAUAUGGGGGGACCAUCCUCCAAGGCUAAAUACUCCUGACUGACCGAUAGUGAACCAGUACCGUGAGGGAAAGGCGAAAAGAACCCCGGCGAGGGGAGUGAAAAAGAACCUGAAACCGUGUACGUACAAGCAGUGGGAGCACGCUUCGGCGUGUGACUGCGUACCUUUUGUAUAAUGGGUCAGCGACUUAUAUUCUGUAGCAAGGUUAACCGAAUAGGGGAGCCGAAGGGAAACCGAGUCUUAACUGGGCGUUAAGUUGCAGGGUAUAGACCCGAAACCCGGUGAUCUAGCCAUGGGCAGGUUGAAGGUUGGGUAACACUAACUGGAGGACCGAACCGACUAAUGUUGAAAAAUUAGCGGAUGACUUGUGGCUGGGGGUGAAAGGCCAAUCAAACCGGGAGAUAGCUGGUUCUCCCCGAAAGCUAUUUAGGUAGCGCCUCGUGAAUUCAUCUCCGGGGGUAGAGCACUGUUUCGGCAAGGGGGUCAUCCCGACUUACCAACCCGAUGCAAACUGCGAAUACCGGAGAAUGUUAUCACGGGAGACACACGGCGGGUGCUAACGUCCGUCGUGAAGAGGGAAACAACCCAGACCGCCAGCUAAGGUCCCAAAGUCAUGGUUAAGUGGGAAACGAUGUGGGAAGGCCCAGACAGCCAGGAUGUUGGCUUAGAAGCAGCCAUCAUUUAAAGAAAGCGUAAUAGCUCACUGGUCGAGUCGGCCUGCGCGGAAGAUGUAACGGGGCUAAACCAUGCACCGAAGCUGCGGCAGCGACGCUUAUGCGUUGUUGGGUAGGGGAGCGUUCUGUAAGCCUGCGAAGGUGUGCUGUGAGGCAUGCUGGAGGUAUCAGAAGUGCGAAUGCUGACAUAAGUAACGAUAAAGCGGGUGAAAAGCCCGCUCGCCGGAAGACCAAGGGUUCCUGUCCAACGUUAAUCGGGGCAGGGUGAGUCGACCCCUAAGGCGAGGCCGAAAGGCGUAGUCGAUGGGAAACAGGUUAAUAUUCCUGUACUUGGUGUUACUGCGAAGGGGGGACGGAGAAGGCUAUGUUGGCCGGGCGACGGUUGUCCCGGUUUAAGCGUGUAGGCUGGUUUUCCAGGCAAAUCCGGAAAAUCAAGGCUGAGGCGUGAUGACGAGGCACUACGGUGCUGAAGCAACAAAUGCCCUGCUUCCAGGAAAAGCCUCUAAGCAUCAGGUAACAUCAAAUCGUACCCCAAACCGACACAGGUGGUCAGGUAGAGAAUACCAAGGCGCUUGAGAGAACUCGGGUGAAGGAACUAGGCAAAAUGGUGCCGUAACUUCGGGAGAAGGCACGCUGAUAUGUAGGUGAAGUCCCUUGCGGAUGGAGCUGAAAUCAGUCGAAGAUACCAGCUGGCUGCAACUGUUUAUUAAAAACACAGCACUGUGCAAACACGAAAGUGGACGUAUACGGUGUGACGCCUGCCCGGUGCCGGAAGGUUAAUUGAUGGGGUCAGCGCAAGCGAAGCUCUUGAUCGAAGCCCCGGUAAACGGCGGCCGUAACUAUAACGGUCCUAAGGUAGCGAAAUUCCUUGUCGGGUAAGUUCCGACCUGCACGAAUGGCGUAAUGAUGGCCAGGCUGUCUCCACCCGAGACUCAGUGAAAUUGAACUCGCUGUGAAGAUGCAGUGUACCCGCGGCAAGACGGAAAGACCCCGUGAACCUUUACUAUAGCUUGACACUGAACAUUGAGCCUUGAUGUGUAGGAUAGGUGGGAGGCUUAGAAGUGUGGACGCCAGUCUGCAUGGAGCCGACCUUGAAAUACCACCCUUUAAUGUUUGAUGUUCUAACGUUGACCCGUAAUCCGGGUUGCGGACAGUGUCUGGUGGGUAGUUUGACUGGGGCGGUCUCCUCCUAAAGAGUAACGGAGGAGCACGAAGGUUGGCUAAUCCUGGUCGGACAUCAGGAGGUUAGUGCAAUGGCAUAAGCCAGCUUGACUGCGAGCGUGACGGCGCGAGCAGGUGCGAAAGCAGGUCAUAGUGAUCCGGUGGUUCUGAAUGGAAGGGCCAUCGCUCAACGGAUAAAAGGUACUCCGGGGAUAACAGGCUGAUACCGCCCAAGAGUUCAUAUCGACGGCGGUGUUUGGCACCUCGAUGUCGGCUCAUCACAUCCUGGGGCUGAAGUAGGUCCCAAGGGUAUGGCUGUUCGCCAUUUAAAGUGGUACGCGAGCUGGGUUUAGAACGUCGUGAGACAGUUCGGUCCCUAUCUGCCGUGGGCGCUGGAGAACUGAGGGGGGCUGCUCCUAGUACGAGAGGACCGGAGUGGACGCAUCACUGGUGUUCGGGUUGUCAUGCCAAUGGCACUGCCCGGUAGCUAAAUGCGGAAGAGAUAAGUGCUGAAAGCAUCUAAGCACGAAACUUGCCCCGAGAUGAGUUCUCCCUGACUCCUUGA